rnacentral:rRNA from 1 species
UACGUAGGGCGCAAGCGUUGUCCGGAUUUAUUGGGCGUAAAGAGCUCGUAGGCGGUUUGUCGCGUCUGCUGUGAAAACUCGGGGCUUAACCCCGGGCCUGCAGUGGGUACGGGCAGACUAGAGUGCGGUAGGGGAGACUGGAAUUCCUGGUGUAGCGGUGAAAUGCGCAGAUAUCAGGAGGAACACCGGUGGCGAAGGCGGGUCUCUGGGCCGUAACUGACGCUGAGGAGCGAAAGCGUGGGGAGCGAACAGG